rnacentral:rRNA from 1 species
CCUACGGGUGGCAGCAGUGAGGAAUAUUGGUCAAUGGGCGUAAUCCUGAACCAGCCAAGCCGCGUGAGGGAUGAAGGCUCUAUGGAUCGUAAACCUCUUUUAUAGGGGAAUAAAGUGCGGGACGUGUCCCGUUCUGUGUGUACCUUAUGAAUAAGGAUCGGCUAACUCCGUGCCAGCAGCCGCGGUAAUACGGAGGAUCCGAGCGUUAUCCGGAUUUAUUGGGUUUAAAGGGUGCGUAGGCGGACUUUUAAGUCAGCGGUGAAAGUCUGUGGCUCAACCCUAGCAUCGCCGUUGAAACUGGGAGGCUUGAGUUGGUGUGAGGCAGGCGGAAGGCGGGGUGUAGCGGUGAAAUGCUUAGAUAUCACGCAGAACCCCGAUUGCGAAGGCAGCCUGCCAAGCCAUGACUGACGCUGAUGCACGAAAGCGUGGGGAUCAAACAGGAUUAGAUACCCGUGUAGUC